GAUGAACGCUGGCGGCGUGCCUAAUACAUGCAAGUCGAACGGGGAGUAGCAAUACUCUUAGUGGCGAACGGGUGAGUAACGCGUUGGUACCUGCCCCGAAGCGGGGGAUAACGGACCGAAAGGUCCGCUAAUACCCCAUGUGCUCGGUAACGAGUAAAGGUGAAAACCACUUUGGGAGGGGCCUGCGUCCCAUCAGCUAGUUGGUAAGGUAACGGCUUACCAAGGCGAUGACGGGUAGGGGACCUGAGAGGGUGGCCCCCCACAAUGGAACUGAAACACGGUCCAUACACCUACGGGUGGCAGCAGUAGGGAAUAUUGGUAAUGGGCGCAAGCCUGAACCAGCAACGCCGCGUGUGCGAUGACGGCCUUCGGGGUGUAAAGCACUUUUGACUGGGACGAGGAAGGACGGUACCGGUCGAAUCAGCCUCGGCUAACUACGUG
rnacentral:rRNA from 1 species